GUGCUUAGAUUGGCAGCGCAUAGAGUUGGAAAGACAGGGGCAGAUUGGCACGGUCUCUGCCCAAGGAUGACGUGCAAAUUUAGAAGCAUUCCAGUCUUUU
rnacentral:snRNA from 14 species